UUAAAUCCUCAACAUUUCUUUAUUCCCAAAUUUAAAUUAAGAGCCCAAAUGUUCAGUGUGGUCCCAGAGGAUUGGAAAUAUCUGACCCAUCUUUGAUUUAUGAGCUUCUUUAAUAAUUUAGUCCUGCAGGAGGCGCUGUGCAUUAGUCCAACCAUAGACUGUAUAAAAACAGUCCAACGCAAACUUCACAAUGGCACUGAAGGACUAAGCUUCACAUGAGUACAUGGAACUUAUUCAUAUUUAUCGCGUUUUCGUCAAACAUUUAUGUUAUACUGUAAAGCGUCAUAUCCGUUGUAAAUGUUUCAUAACUGGACGUCCCAAACCUUUGUUCAAAUCAGUAAUUGCGUGUGGCAGGAUUUCCAUUGUUUGUCAGCACACAGAGAUAAGAACAUGUUUAACGCAUUUGAUUUGGUUUAAAACUACCAGGGAUUGUCAGAAAUGUGGAGCAUGAGUAGCAAUUUCCUCCUAAAAUAUCUGAGAGAAUGAACACAGUACAUUCUUAAAUGAACAAAUAAUAGACUAUGUCCCUCCCCGGUUCUAACAGCUUCUAAACCUCUGAAAACUCAUUUAAAAUACUCGUUUGCUGGAUUUUCGUGACUUGUCAGAGCUUCAGUCUGGGUUUUCAUGUUUCUCCAGGCAACAGGAGGCAGAAUUACCAUGACAACUGACUCGAGUGAGGGAUGAAGGCCUGUCAGACAGACAUCUAUCCCGAGAGCCAUGUGUGUUUGUGAUCCCUGAGCCACCGGCCCGCCGUGAAGCCCUAAUAACCUGAAGAUACUAACUACAGCCAGAUCUCAGAUCACUCACUGAGCUCAGGCCAGAUCUGAUGAUGUCUUCUCACAUCUAGAGGAAUAACAAACCUCCAAAAGCACAUUUAUUUGAUUAAGACGAGAUUUACCAUGGUAGCAGUAUUUUCUGCCAAAAUGAAAGGAGAAUGGCAGGCCGAAGUCCGACAAGUUUAAUCACACAUUCUUUCCAGGCAGCCGCCAGAGUUCAUGAACCCCGUGAAUGUAUUUCCUGCUGCGAUCAAAGCAUUGUUGGGAGGUUGAAGUGUCGUAGUUCUCCUGAAUUGUUCUAACAGUUUAAAUCAAGCGCAGCAUAUGUGACAGUCUAUGUGUCUAACACAAUAUCAUGGCAGUUUAAUGAGAAUUUUAAAGUUUUGGUGAAUCUGUGUUUUGUGUGUGUGUCAGUGUGUGAAUGAAAUCUUUCAGUAUUCCCCAGCUGCCCUGUGACACGACCAGAGCGCAUGCAUGUGAGGGUGAAAGAGGCUUACUGUGGCGGCACAUGACUCUUCCCAUAGUCCACCUGCUUCACAUGUCCGUAAAAAUACAGCUCCAAAAUCUCUAGCAAAACUACUACCACAAAUCCAACCACAUGACAUAUGACAGCACCAAUAAUUAACAAGUAACAAUGAGCUCUUUGCAUACUGCUGCUUAGAAUUCAAUUAAAUGCAGGCAGGCAAAGAGAUCUCAUCACAUGCAAAUGUCAGCGUUAUACAAGCCGAAUACAGCUGGACUCAGCACUCUGGAGCUGAGCUGAUUUACUGCUUUUAUUUUGGCAUGGAUUAAAAACAACCCGUUCCAUUGCCUCGCUCUUUAAUCUCCUCCUGGGUGACCAGCGGCUCCAGAGACUGGCGAGGAAACCUGGCAACCCUGUUCACCGUCACACUACUAAAAUGCUCACAUACUCUUGCUGGGAAUUAUUAGAAUUUAUUAGAACUUCAACAUUGUCUUAAUGGUGCACAACACUGUCUUAUUGCUGAUCAUUCAAAGUGCUUAAUAUGAGCAUGAAAAAGAAAUAAAUAAUAUACACUGAAAUGAGAAUAAAAGGAAAGUGAUUUUAGAUUCCUUCAAAUUUCAAUAAACGAGACUGUGCAAAAAACACAUUCAAAUUUGCUGUGCAAAUGGAGAUUGGCAUUAUGGAGGUUUGAAUUAAAGAUGUAGUUUGUUGAUUUUCUAGAAGUUAGUCAUUUUAUUAGAAAAAGAUUGUAAAAUUAAAACUUGUUAAAUGAUUAACUGUACAAGUUACCUUAUCAUACAGUAAAUUUUUAUAUUUAAAAAGGCAAUACAUGUCAAUUUAGGUUGGAUAUAUUAACAUAAUAGCACAAAAAUAUUAAAGUUUUACAAUAGAUAAUCACUGUGUAUUUUGGCUAUUCAACAAGUAUUUUAAAUAUAGUGAAAAAGGCAAUGCAUGUCCUUUUAAGUUGGUUGAUAUAUUCAUAUAAUAUCAUUAUAAAAUAUAUAAUCAUAGACCAUUCAGUUGGUUGAUAUAUUAAUAUUGUAUUAUUUAAUUAUUAAUUAUAGUUAUAAGCUGUGUAAUAUGAGGUGUAUAAUAACAAUGUAUUCUGGCUGUUCAACAAGUAUUUCAGAUAAAACAUAAAAUUUAUUUAAUUGAUUAAUUCAUUCAAUGUCAUUUUAAGCUGGUUAAUAGUGGGUUUUUUUAAAGGCAAUGUGAUUUCAAAUUAGUUGAUAUAUUAAUAUUACUUCAUUUAAAAGUAUGAGCCAUAAAAUAUAUAAUCAAAGUGUAUUCUGACUAUUCAACAAGUAUUUUAGAUACUAGUUAAAAUGUAUGUCAUGCCAAUUUAAGAUGAUUAAUAUAUUAAUAUUUAUUUAAAUACGACAUAUACAAUUAUGAGUUGUAUAAUAUACACUGUGUUUUCUGACCAUUUAACAAGGUUUUUAGAUAAUAAAUUGUAUUUGAACAGGCAAGUUGGUUGAUAUAUAAUUUAUAUAAGCUACAUAAUAUAAAAUCAAAGUGGCCAUUCAAUAAAUAUUUUAGAUGCUACAAUAAAAAAUAGCGUGUCAUUUUAAGUUGGUUUAUAUAUUAAUAUUACAUCACAGUGUGUUCUGACCAUUCAACAAUAUUAUUUGUCUCCUGAAGUAUUUAACACAUUUGUGCAUUGACAGUUUAGAUGUUGUCACAUGCAUGUGGCAUGUACAUCUACAUUCACAAAAAUAAUAGAAGCGAAGCCGCAAGAGGCUGUAAUGACCGCAGCUUUCAGCCUUUGAGUGAUCAGCACAGUUUGGACACAUGGACAGGCCAUCUGUCUGCAGACAAUCUCACACAUGCGUAUGUCAUGUAUUUGGGUGACCAAACCCUUACAAAAAAUUACUGCAGUUUUUUUAAAAAGUAAUACUGCAGUUUUUGUUAUAUGUUACAAAAAAAAUUGGACAUGAAAAAAAUGCAUUAAUGCCAUUUACUGCAAUAAAUCUGAAGUACUAUUGAAAUACAACUGCAAUAGAGCUGUAGUAUUACUAACAAACAACUGCAAUAGAACUGCGGUAUUACUGUAAUACAGCUGAAGCAGUACUACAAUUAUACUGCAAUAAAUCUGCAGUAGUACUGCAAUAUAUAAUACAACUGAAGUAAAAUUCAAUACAACCGAAGUGCACUACUAAUAAAAUGCUGUACAGUAACACUGAAAUGCAACCAGAAUAUUCAGAAUAAGUUUUAUUUGCACACAACUGCAAUAUAAUGAAAAACAGUGAAUAUCUUAAACAGCAAUGCAACAAUAAAUUAUUUUGCUUUUCUUUAAGCUUAAAACAACAGGCUGAGAGUUAAACUAAAUGUGCUUAGUGUAUAUUUACAAAUCAUGCACAUUUCUUCCCUCAUUAUUCAGAACUUACCCUCAUCGUUUCGCUUGGUUCUCAUGACUGCCUUUAUCUCAGAUGUGGAAACACUAUUUUGGAUGUAGUCUGGAAAAACAAACAAACAAAAACAUUCUCAAAUUUUAGUUACACUUUUCACUACAGGCAUAAAUCUUAGAUUAGAUUUAAAAAUAAAUCUUGAACUGUGAUGUCACCAAGUGUUUUUGAAAAGUAUUCAUUCUUCUCACAGUUCAUUUCUUAUGGCAUACUGAUCAGAAUGAACAAUGUCUUUGAACACUCCAGGUAAAAGAAGUUAACAGGAUGUUUCACCCAAAAAUGAAAAUUCUGUCAACAAUUACUCACCCUCAUGUCGUUCCAAACUCGCAAACCUUUCGUUCAUCUUCAGAACACAAAUGAAGCUCUUUAUAAUGAAAUCUCAGAGCUUUCUGUCCCUCCACUGAUAGUUCAUGCCACUACCCCUUGGACAAUAACAUGCAUUUCUGGAGAAAAGCAUAGACCAAAUCAUGUUUAAAUACUGUACAGAGUGCUCCAC